rnacentral:rRNA from 1 species
CCUACGGGGGGCAGCAGUGGGGAAUAUUGGGCAAUGGGCGCAAGCCUGACCCAGCAACGCCGCGUGAAGGAAGAAGGCUUUCGGGUUGUAAACUUCUUUUAAGAGGGAAGAGCAGAAGACGGUACCUCUUGAAUAAGCCACGGCUAACUACGUGCCAGCAGCCGCGGUAAUACGUAGGUGGCAAGCGUUGUCCGGAUGUACUGGGUGUAAAGGGCGUGUAGCCGGGCUGGCAAGUCAGAUGUGAAAUUGCGGGGCUCAACCCCGGGCCUGCAUUUGAAACUGUUGGUCUUGAGUAUCGGAGGGGCAGGCGGAAUUCCUAGUGUAGCGGUGAAAUGCGUAGAUAUUAGGAGGAACACCAGUGGCGAAGGCGGCCUGCUGGACGGCAACUGACGGUGAGGCGCGAAAGCGUGGGGAGCAAACAGGAUUAGAUACCCUUGUAGUC